GAGGAAAGCCGCGCACCCUUUUAUUUGUUUCAAAUGUAUUGCCACGUGUCCCUUUCUUAUGAAUUCCCACUUCUCCAUUUGCACAUAAUCGGUGAAUAAUAUGGCCCAAUGGCUUGGCUUGGAUUUCAAUUUAUUUACCAAAUUGCCAUCAACUUUAUGGAGAAUGUGGAUUUCAUUUUUUUUUUUCCACUUAUUUAUCAUUUUGCCAUUUUGGACAAAAUUUGUUUAUAUACCAAC
rnacentral:lncRNA from 1 species